rnacentral:tRNA from 1 species
CGGGACGUAGCUCAGCAUGGUAGAGCACAGCGUUCGGGACGCUGGGGCCGCUGGUUCAAGUCCAGUCGUCCCGACCA